AAACAGAACACAAAAACAAAGAAAUGCUAACCCUAGAUUUUGUGCCUCCGUUCCUUGACAAAACAACAUCACUCUCAUUUCUCAUUUCUCAUUUCUCUAUUUCGAAUCGCGAUGACUUGUCCGGCCAAGCCUCCGAUCGUCGUCUUCCACGUCCCGUCGAUUUGAGUCUGUCGGGGUUUUCACGGAGGUUCCCGGAUCUUUAAAAUCGACUUCGUUCACAGUCAGCUCAGUUUUGGUGUGUUUAUUUGAUAAAACUCGAUAUGUGUUAACUGGAUUUGGAGAAGUUGAAGAACAUGUCAAGAAGCUUGAAGAAGCAGUUGGCUGGAAGAAGAUAGAUUGACAUGGACACUAUUGAAGUCAAUAACCUGAAUAGGCAAUUCAUAUUCCGUCCUUCUCAUGUUGGGCACUCCAAGGCUAAGGUAUAUUUGCUUGAGCUAAGUCCAAGGGAAUCCAGUUCAUAAGAGAAUUCAUGUGACCAUAUAUAAUCAAAGUUGUUAACCAAAGUUGUUGGGUUUGUUGAAUCCAGUUUAGGAGGUAUAUGUGAGCAACCUGGGCUCAUUCUCCAUCGCUUCAAGGUAUCUGAUUUCUCUCUGAUGGUGUCAUUAAGCAACCUGAGCUCAUUCUCCCUCACAUUAAGUUCCUUAAGAGAUGCUUCCAUCUGCUCAGCUUCCUUUCUCCUUGUCUUGGGUCUCUACAGUUUGCUUCAAGUCAAAAUCUUUAACAUUCAUCUCAAAAGCAAAAGACUUCUCAUAUGGGAAAGCAAAGCAACCUCGCUUCAAACAUUAAACCCUUGAUGUUUCUGCAUUUCCCCCGAGAUACCUCCAAUAUUUACUUUCUCUUUUUACUAGUAUGAUGUAUUCUUAUUUUUAAUUAUGUUUUUAGUUUUAUUUUGUAAUACAUUUU